UCACCUACGGGGGGCUGCAGUGGGGAAUAUUGGGCAAUGGGCGCAAGCCUGACCCAGCAACGCCGCGUGAGGGAAGAAGGUCUUCGGAUUGUAAACCUCUGUCCUUGGGGACGAAAAAAAUGACGGUACCCAAGGAGGAAGCUCCGGCUAACUACGUGCCAGCAGCCGCGGUAAUACGUAGGGAGCGAGCGUUGUCCGGAAUUACUGGGCGUAAAGGGUGCGUAGGCGGUCAGGCAAGUCAGAUGUGAAAUCCCCGGGCUUAACUCGGGAGUUGCAUUUGAAACUGCUUGGCUUGAGUGCAGGAGAGGAAAGCGGAAUUCCUAGUGUAGCGGUGAAAUGCGUAGAUAUUAGGAGGAACACCAGUGGCGAAGGCGGCUUUCUGGACUGUAACUGACGCUGAGGCACGAAAGCGUGGGGAGCAAACAGGAUUAGAUACCCCAGUAGUCCU
rnacentral:rRNA from 1 species